UAUUUGAUAGGUAAGAAGCUUUAUUACACUGGUAAUAAAACCAUUCUAGCUUUGAGCAUCAUCUCUCUGCUGCUGCUUAUCCUAGUUAUGCUCGUUUUAGGCCUACUUUUAUUCAUCGUCAACCGUUAUCGUUCAAGCACUACCCACACAACGACAACGUCGACAAGUCACGCAAAGACUGUGACAACCACCACCACCAUUGAAACUCCGCCGGCCAGAGCGUAAAACCAUCAUGGCCUCCAACAACAAUAAAAGGCAUAUUCUGAUGCUUUAGUUAAAUUUUCAUUAACACACACCCACAUACACACACACAUAUAUACAUAUAUAUAUAUAUACGUGUAUAUAUAUAUCUAUGUAUACACACACGCACACACACACACACACACACACACACACACACACACAUACAUAUAUAUAUAUAUAUAAUCUUUUUCUUUUGCUUUUAACAUUUGUAUGAUCUUUAAUCGUUUUAAAUAUAUCUUAACUGCUUACAUUUCAAUUUUUCUUUCCUGAAUUACUAAGAAAUUUUAUCUGCAUAAAAUAUUUCUUUUCCAAAAU